UACCAGCACCCCGAGCGGUCGGGACGAUUAUUGGGCCUAAAGCAUCCGUAGCCGGUCAUGCAAGUCCUCCGUUAAAUCCACCUGCUUAACAGAUGGGCUGCGGAGGAUACUAUAAGACUAGGAGGCAGGAGAGGCAAGCGGUACUCAGUGGGUAGGGGUAAAAUCCGUUGAUCCAUUGAAGACCACCAGUGGCGAAGGCGGCUUGCCAGAAUGCGCUCGACGGUGAGGGAUGAAAGCUGGGGGAGCAAACCGG
rnacentral:rRNA from 1 species